AGUGAACGCUGGCGGCGUGCUUAACACAUGCAAGUCGAACGAGAACGGAUUAUAGCUUGCUAUAAUUGUCAGCUAAGUGGCGCACGGGUGAGUAAUGUAUAGGUAUAUGCCUCUUACUAAGGGAUAACAAAUGGAAACGUUUGGUAAUACCUUAUAAUCCUUAUUAACAUAAGUUAAUAAGGGAAAGAUUUAUUGGUAAGAGAUUAGCCUGUAUUGUAUCAGUUAGUUGGUGGGGUAAUGGCUUACCAAGACUAUGACACAUAACUGGUUUGAGAGGAUGAUCAGUCACACUGGAACUGAGACACGGUCCAGACCCCUACGGGAGGCAGCAGUGGGGAAUAUUGCACAAUGGACGAAAGUCUGAUGCAGCAACGCCGCGUGGAGGAUGACACAUUUCGGUGCGUAAACUCCUUUUAUAUGAGAAGAUAAUGACGGUAUUAUAUGAAUAAGCACCGGCUAACUCCGUGCCAGCAGCCGCCGUAA
rnacentral:rRNA from 1 species